CACGUAGGCGGGUAUUUAAGUCAGGGGUGAAAUCCCGGAGCUCAACUCCGGAACUGCCUUUGAUACUGGGUACCUAGAGUAUGGAAGAGGUAAGUGGAAUUCCGAGUGUAGAGGUGAAAUUCGUAGAUAUUCGGAGGAACACCAGUGGCGAAGGCGGCUUACUGGUCCAUUACUGACGCUGAGGUGCGAAAGCGUGGGGAGCAACA
rnacentral:rRNA from 1 species